rnacentral:rRNA from 1 species
GCUGGCGGCAGGCCUAAAACAUGCAAGUCGAACGAACCUUCGGGUUAGUGGCGCACGGGUGAGUAACACGUGGGGAUGUGCCUCUGGGUGCGGAACAACGUCGGGAAACUGACGCUAAUACCGCAUAAUGUCUACGGACCAAAGAUUUAUUGCCCAGAGAUCAGCCCGCGUCUGAUUAGCUAGUUGGUGAGGUAAUGGCUCACCAAGGCGACGAUCAGUAGCUAGUCUGAGAGGAUGAUCAGCCACACUGGAACUGAGACACGGUCCAGACUCCUACGGGAGGCAGCAGUUAGGAAUAUUGGACAAUGGGGGCAACCCUGAUCCAGCCAUGCCGCGUGUGUGAAGAAGGCCUUAGGGUUGUAAAGCACUUUCGGCUGUGAAGAUAAUGACAGUAGCAGAAGAAGAAGCUCCGGCUAAAUUCGUGCCAGCAGCCGCGGUAAUACGAAUGGAGCGAGCGUUGUUCGGAAUCACUGGGCGUAAAGCGUGCGCAGGCGGUCUUGAAAGUCAGGAGUGAAAUCCCAGGGCUUAACCCUGGAAUUGCUCUUGAAACUCCAAGACUGGAGUACUGGAGAGGUUGGCGGAAUUCCGAGUGUAGCAAUGAAAUGCGUAGAUAUUCGGAGGAACACCGAUGGCGUAGGCAGCCAACUG